CUUUAAUCUAAAAAAUAACUUUAUCUUCAAUUCAGUACUUUCGUGCAUAAUUUUUUUGUUUGAACCUAUCAGCUAGUAUUUUUGUUUCCAUCAUUUUACUUCCAAAAGUUGAUGAUAUAUUCUUGUUCAUAUUUUUUAUAGCACUCACAGUUACCAAUAAUUGUUUUACACGCAUUGACAUAAAUCGAGAUAUUAAUUUAUCUCUAAUAUAAUGACAAAUGCUUAAAGAGAGAUAUUUCAAAGCAGUAUGAAGAUAAGAUAUUAAACUGUCAUUCAGGGAUUUGUCUAAGAGAAAUAAUUUGGAUUUGAUUUUUCCACAAUUCUUUCUCUCUCUUCAAGAAUAUCAAACAUUUCUUUAUUAAUUCUUAUUUGAGCUCCAGGAGUAUAAUUUGAAAUAACUAUAAAGGCAGAUAAAAAGGAUAGUGUAAACGUCAAAUUAGAAUUAUCUUGGAAUUAUCUUGCAAUUUAGAUAAUAAAAAAUCUUCACAUUUGAUGAAAUUCCUCAAUUUGAAAACAAUAUAUCUACACAUUCUAUAAAAUAUUUGUUGUAUAGUCUUUGACAUAGGCUCGCAAUCAUUUAAUUUAGAGAAAUCGUAAUGUGUUUCUACAGUUUGUUCUUUUAAUUUAGUUAGAAAUGCAUUCAAAAGAGAAGGUUCAUAUGUAUAACUAGAGGUAGGUAUUGCGCGAUUUCCUGCUAUAUAUGUCUUAGGGUAUGAUCAGUGCUAUAUCAUGAUGCUAUAAAUGCUUUAAAGCGUUUUUAUAUUAGUCAAUUUGUAAAAUUCUUUUUUUUUAUUGGUCCAUCAAAUGCUUCAAAGCAUUUGUAGCGAGACUUUGACCACGGCCUUAGUCUGUAUUUGAACUGAAGAGCUGUUAGCUUGGGACAUACUCUACGUUUCAAAAAUCACUUUUCAAACUAUCUUGACUUGCUCGUCCUGGAAAAAAGAAAAGAAAUUUUCUUGCUGAAAAGACGAUCUUGUAGCUGAAUCAUUGAUUCCGUGGUAAAUAUUACUAGAGAGAAAAAUAUUACAUGGAUCUGAGGUGGUUUUUAUGAACCACAUCCAAUUUUCGUUUGAACUUUUGAAAAUAUGAUAUAAUUUUAGAAGUUCUAUUAUAUCAUUAUAUUUUUGAAGGUUGUGAAAAUUUAAAGUAUAACGAAGAUUUCUCAUGAUUAUUACGUCAAACCAUUCCCUAAUCAAUCUGAUAAACCAGGCUGUUUCCAUUUGUGGAAGUCCAUCACUUUUUUAGAUUAGAAAUGUUAAUGCAGAUAUAGUGGAAUAAUUUAUAACUCUAGUUGAAUUUGUGACUUUUAUUUUACCAAAAUGGUUUGGUCUUAAUAUUGUUUUGUUUAAUUCAGGCACAAAUUUUAUCUCCAUGCAAUUUUGACUGAUAUGAAUCUAACCUAUGGGUCAUAUAAGUCACAUUCAAUGUGAUCCAUAUCGACAAUAUUACUAGAUAAAUUCUAGAGUUCUACAACAUCUUGUAGAAGAAAUUAAGAUCAUUAAUAUGAGAAAUCGAAUGCAAGCAGUAAUUGAGCAAUGCGGAGGCAAUACGCGUUACUGAAAUUUACAUGCAAAAACACGAUGUGCAAAAUCCAUCCAACAACGUCGUGGUACAUAUCCGGUAAUGCAGUGGAGACUCCUGUCAUCACUCUUCGAACGAAGCGAUGAAAAGUUAGAAGAAGAAAAUAUACGGGUGGAAUGAAAAAAGGACAAAUACCAGCGGAAUGUCCAGUUUUUGCGUGGCAGUUACUUAUCUUAAACGAGCUAAGAUUCUCAUAUAGAAUAGCGGAGAGGCUUUUCGAUCCUCAGUCGCGACCGCUUCCAAAGACGAAACGCAAUGCUCAUCAUUCUCGAAUAAACAUGGCGAACAAAAAGUUUAUCAGUUGCCAUGUCUACACGAGGAAAACACCAACCAUGGGUGUGGUGCCCUUCUUCUAUCUCACACUUACAAAGAACAAAUGUCAGUUGGUUUUGAAACCGACGUACGGAAUCUUAAUGAUGUCUCGUCAUAUCCGACAACGAGCUUCGGCGGAUUUAGACUUCCAACUGAGUGGAACAAAAUAUAUUGUUGUAUAGUUUAA